AUUCCAGCUCCAAUGGCGUAUAUUAAAGUUGUUGCAGUUAAAAAGCUCGUAGUUGGAUUUCUGGCAGGAGCGACCGGUCGGCCCAUUGUGGUGUGUACUGGUGUUGCAUCUGGCCAUAUUUGUGGAGAGCGUGUGUGGCAUUAAUUUGUCGUGCUCGGGACCCGCAUCGUUUACUGUGAGAAAAUUAGAGUGUUCAAAGCAGGCUUAUGCCUUGGAUAUGUUAGCAUGGAAUAAUAAGAUAAGACUUUGGCGGUCUAUUUUGUUGGUUUGCACGCCAUUGUAAUGAUUGAUAGGGACAGUUGGGGGUAUUCAUAUUUAAUUGUCAGAGGUGAAAUUCUUGGAUUUAUGAAAGAUGAACUACUGCGAAAGCAUUUACCAAGGAUGUUUUCAUUA
rnacentral:rRNA from 1 species